rfam:Rhizobiales bacterium 64-17 SCNpilot_cont_500_bf_scaffold_256, whole genome shotgun sequence.
UGCCGGCCUUCCACCGCCGGCGACGGGUCACCGACGAGGCUUGUCCAUCAUUGCCAGCAGCGCGGCGGGGCGUUUCCCUCCAAGCCAAGGCAGCUAAGCGGUCAAGAGCAAACGGCGCCUGCGUCCCCAUCGCGCACCGCCGGGAAGCUCCCAA